rnacentral:rRNA from 1 species
UGCGUAGGUGGCGCCAUAAGUCAGGUGUGAAAUCCCGGGGCUCAACCUCGAAACUGCACUUGAUACUGUGGUGCUCGAGUACUGGAGAGGAGAUUGGAAUUUACGGUGUAGCAGUGAAAUGCGUAGAUAUCGUAAGGAAGACCAGUGGCGAAGGCGAAUCUCUGGACAGUUACUGACACUGAGGCACCAAGGGGCCAGGGGAAGGCAAACGG